GGCAAGAUGGCCGAGCGGUCUAAGGCGCUAGCUUCAGGUGCUAGUGUGGAAACACGCGUGGGUUCGAAUCCCACUCUUGUCA
rnacentral:tRNA from 1 species